rnacentral:rRNA from 1 species
UACGGAGGGUGCGAGCGUUGUCCGGAAUUACUGGGCGUAAAGCGAGUGUAGGUGGUUGUCCAAGUUGGAUGUGAAAGCCUUGAGCUCAACUCAAGAAAUGCAUUCAGGACUGGGCGACUAGAGGACCGGAGAGGAUAGUGGAAUUCCCAGUGUAGUGGUGAAAUACGUAGAGAUUGGGAAGAACACCAGUGGCGAAGGCGGCUAUCUGGACGGUUUCUGACACUAAGACUCGAAAGCGUGGGGAGCAAACAGG